rfam:Necator americanus N_americanus-1.0_Cont1544.2, whole genome shotgun sequence.
GUACCAAUGGUGUAGCGGUAUCAUUGUACCCUCCCACGGUACAGACCCGGGUUCAACUCCCGGUUGGUGCA